rfam:Triticum aestivum genome assembly, contig: Triticum_aestivum_CS42_TGACv1_scaffold_220937_3B
CAACUACUACCUCUAUCCCAAAAUUCUUGUCUUAGAUUUGUCUAGAUACUGAUGUAUCUAAUACUAAAAUGUGACUUGAUACAUCCGUAUCUAGACAAAUCUAAGACAAGAAUUUUGGGACGGAGGGAGUACUUU